GCCUUCGUGGUGUAGUGGUCAGCACGCUCGACGCGUAACCGAGAGGUCCGUGGUUCGAUUCCCGGAGAAGGCG
rfam:Stegodyphus mimosarum contig108545, whole genome shotgun sequence.